CCAAGUGCCUUCAUCCACUGCGCAUUGCGCAAUACCAAUGGAUGGCUGCAGGAACGCCGGCCUUUCACAAGCUGGAGACAAUUCUCUCAACCAAGAGGAUUUUGAAAGCUGUGGCCAAACUCAGCCCACACCACCAGACUUCAUCUUUGGAGUCAUUCCAUGCCGUCAUCCUGCGCUUUGCUCCAAAGAAUGUUGUGUUUCCAUUUCUUGGAAUGUUGUGCAGACUGUACCUGGCAGCCCUGCACUACAAUGAAAACGCUGAGCGUGCACAAGCCACUACAUCCACUGGAAAGCCUCUGU